rnacentral:rRNA from 1 species
GAGUUUGAUCGUGGCUCAGAACGAACGCUGGCGGCAGGCUUAACACAUGCAAGUCGAACGGCUGUAGCAAUACAGCAGUGGCAGACGGGUGAGUAACACGUGGGAACCUUCCUAGGGGUACGGAACAACUCAGGGAAACUUGAGCUAAUACCGUAUACGUCCGUGAGGAGAAAGAUUUAUCGCCCUUAGACGGGCCCGCGUCGGAUUAGGUAGUUGGUGGGGUAACGGCCUACCAAGCCUACGAUCCGUAGCUGAUCUGAGAGGAUGAUCAGCCACACUGGGACUGAGACACGGCCCAGACUCCUACGGGAGGCAGCAGUGGGGAAUCUUGGACAAUGGGCGCAAGCCUGAUCCAGCCACGCCGCGUGAGUGAAGAAGGCCUUAGGGUUGUAAAGCUCUUUUGCCAGGGACGAUAAUGACGGUACCUGGAGAAUAAGCCCCGGCAAACUUCGUGCCAGCAGCCGCCGCGGUAAC